GAAAGAAGCUGCAACAAAAUCAUAACUUCAAAUUGUCGAUUUAUGAUUUGUGCCCAAUAAAAGCAACAAGCGCACACGUAGCUAAAGGACAGCAACUGCUACUGCAGCGACCAAUUGGAGUAUACACUAAUCGGAAACAGUGGCAACUGUAUAUUUUAUUAUCUUCAAACAAUAAUGUGCACUGAGCAAAUUGGCUUGUGAUUAGUACAGGGGAAUAGCGCUUGCUGUUUGGGCGCAGUAAAUCAGUGAGCGCUGGGGAGGAUUAUGAUUUAUUUUAGCGUUUAGUUAUAACGAGGAGGAAUAAUUGUAUUAAAAAAAUUAAAAUUGUAAAACUUGUAAGAGAUAAUUUUUAUACGUUUUUAAAUGUUUUUCUUGCAUUGAAAAAGUAGUUUUGAAAGUUACAGUCUUGUUAAUAUUAUAUUUCCAAGUAAAAUUUAUUUUUAUUUGCCUUCUCGAGUUUUAAAAACGAAUUUUUGAAAAUUAUAUCUUGUAAAUAAUAUAUUUUCAAGCAAAAUUAUACUUGUAACAAAAAAAAUUUAAUUAAUAAUAAUUUUAAUUAUCAUAGAAAACACAAAGCUUGCAGAUCCAAAACGAAUAUUUUACAUAAAAAUGUUUAAAAACUAUCGACAACUUUUAUAAAUAUCGUUUUUAUCAAUAAUUUUAAUUAACAAUUGCAGAUAUCAUUUUAUGAAAUAAAAGUAAUAAGCAAUUCAAAGUUAUAUAUAAAAUUAUUUGACACUUAUAUUGCGGCAAAAUUGCUGCAAUCUAUAUACUGUUCAUAUUCACCGAAUUCGAAAUUAAGCAGUACUCAUUUCAUUAAGAAAAUUUUUUGAAAAUUUUGAAUUUUUUGAAAAUUUUUUUAUAUUUAUUUGCAUAAAAUAAACUAAAAUAUAUAAAAUUUCAAAUAAUUUUAUUUAUCCUCCUUCAUUUGAAGAGCGCAUGAAUUCAAAAAUAAUUCGAAAUUAAAUUUUAUUACUUUUCUAUAUAUGUAUAUCCGAAAGCAACAUUCCAAUUUAGUAUUGAACGCGAUCAUGUUUUUUGGAAACUGAACGCAUUAGUUUUCACUUCAAGCCUACUUUAUAGAGUAUAGAAUACAAAAAUCAUUUGAUCUAUACUAUGUUCGAAAAUGAAUUGGAAGCCAAAACAUAUUUUCCGAAAACUAUUUGAAUUAAUUUUCGCUACAAACCUGUUUCGUCCAAGAAAUUAAAGAAGAAAUUUCUUAAUUAUUCUAUUUCUAAAUUAAGAACACCUUUUAUAUUAUACUUGAAAACAAUGUCAUCUCCGGUUAAUGCUUGCAAAAACAAUUUUAACGAUUCAACAACUAUUAUAAACUUUUCCUUGCAAUAUUUAUUUGUUUUAGGUUAUUUUUAAUCAUUUUAAUUUUUUAUAAAUUUAAGACAUUUUCUUAAGACAAAAGUUUAUAAAAAUUAAGCAGCACUAUAUACUCGUGAGUAUUUCUUCACAGCUCAUGAUGCUACAAAUUCUUUAGUUAUUUUUUAAAUUGACAGCUACACCCUGUAUUUAACGACUAUGCGUUAUUCAUAAGUAAAAAUAGCAGGAAUAAAUCUAGAAAAUCAUAGUCAUGACACACGCCGGAAUAAAGAAUAUUGAAAGUCAAUGAAUGUGAAUCUGGCUGCGGAUUGAAUAAGUGAGUAAUUUGUGGUUUUGAGGAUUCGUAAUAACGACUACUAUACGAACAGGGAAAAUUCAGGGAAUAGAAAAGCAAUCACGAAAGAAAAACUUGCAAAAGGAAAGUUAUUUAUUAAAUUAUAAUUUAGUGAGAAGAUAAUAAGUUAGGCAAAUAAAAUACUAGUGAUAGUAGUGGUGAGUAGAAGAGAUUAAAAAAUUAUUGUGUUUCAAAAAACAUCAAUAUUUAACAAAAAUAAUUUUAAUUAAAGCAAAUGCUUGCUACUUGAGGGUCUUAAAAUUAUAAAAUGUAGAGGACUUAAGAAAAAACUCAAACUUCUCACAAACUUUAGGCUAUUAAGAGCACACUAUUUCAAAGCAAAGUGGAGCAGUAUGUGUUCUUAAAAAAUCUAGAAACCUUUUCUCAAUGUCUGGUUAGCAGUCAUCUGUCAGUUAAGUUCCGUAUUCACAUAUUUUUUAACCACAAUCUAAAUGGUAGAUAACCAAAACUCCUUCUUUCCGUAAAGCAUCUUUUUUUGACCACAUUUGAACUGUUAGAUAGCUGCUAACCAGACAUUAAGAAAACGGCCUUUAGUUAUUUUUAUUUUGAAAACUGUAUAAAGCUUUAAAAAUCUAAACUGCUUAAGUCAAAAAAUAUAAUUUUGAGCAACUAACCACAAUCUUCGUAUAUAAUACAGCUAUACAAUUUAUAACGUUGUACUGUCUACACUUCCAUACUAGUGCAGCACCUAAGUGUUAUUAACCCUUACAUAUCCGGCAAUUAUAAGUUAUUAAUUUGCACACAUUCAAUAUCCUUGCAUGUCCUUCGCUCACAUAAGUGCAGACCAAGACCAGUACCAAAGCAAGUGUUGCAAAUUUAUGCUGCAAUAACAACAAUAAAUACAUAACUAAACGCAUUUUGAAGCAUAACGGUAUCACUGACCUAAGCUGAUAACGUCAAACUACAAGUUAAUCCUACGUGCAACCGACCAACUUCAAAUCCAACAUGUGGUUACGCCAAUUUCCGAGCCCUAACAUCAAAGCAACACAACAACAAACAUAUGUAUGUAUGUAUAAUAUGUCUGGGAUUGGCACUUUUGUCAUGCUGUUGUUAUUGUUGUUAGCACAACAGCAUCCUAGCGGUGAGUCGCUUAACGUGUAAAGUGGCGCUUUACGCAGCCACAAGUGUGCCGUAAGUCGUUGCAACAUGCAGGCAACGAAGUCGACGCUGUGCCUCCCCGCAGCUGGUGAGUGAAUGGGUGCCGUUAGGAUGCAAAUGUAUGCAUACAGCGUAUAUGUGCACACAUAUGUACGUUUAGAACAAAACAGAGGCACGUGUGGCAAGCAAACGUUUCAGUGAGCAAGUCCUUAUUGACGCUUGCGUAAAAAAUAGGUGUGUGACAAUCGUUUGCGCCAACAUAUAGACAGAUAUCAUAUAGAUAGUAAUAUAUUAUUGUGUAUUGCACUUGCCGGCGGCUGCCUACAUGCCAGCAGACAGACAUAUGGCGCAUUCGAGGCGCAACAGCGUUUGUUGGUUUUGCUUUAACGCCACAGCACGUGUUGCAAGGUUACAUGCUGCAUUCUUUAUGCAGAAAUAAAUCACCUAAACACAUUAUUUGUUGUUAUUGUGGCUAUUCUGCGUAGCAAAUAAGCAUACGUCAGCAGCGAGUCCAUGACAAGCUACUUAGAAGAGAGGAAAGUAUAAACGCGAACGUUGAAGAAACAUAAACAACGCCAAGUUGCAAGUGUAGCUGUGUAUGUAUGCGGCUUGCAAUGCGGAAAAGUUGGCAAAACUUACAUUGUUGUGUGGCAAACUUCCUUCCUUUCUUGGCUGCUGCUGCGAGCAACAAACAAAACAUAAAAGCCGGCUGACGUGCGUGCAACAUUACGUUGCGCCGCACAUACAAUCUUAGAAAAGUUGGCGUAAACUUUUUAUUUCCGUUGUGCGCGUUUUCCGCUGCUUAUUGCUAUACUUUAUAUUUAUUUUUUUUAUUUCUUUUAUUUUUAUUUUUAUUAUUUUUAUAAUAUUUUUUAAUACCAAAACAUCUUUUACAUAGAAAUAUCUAAAAAAUCAAGCAACAUUGGCAUGCCAUUACUGAAACAUACAUAAGUACAUAUGUAUGUGCAUGCAUAGAAGCAUUUGUCUGCAUGCAACAUGUGCGCAAAAACAGUAAAAACACAGUUGUUGCAUGAACAACAUUUAGAAAACCAAAGUAACGGUGAAACAAGUCAAUUCCAAACAUUGAGAUAGUUAUGCUGCACGUGCUGUUCUUAGUUUUUUUUUGCCUCACUGCCCUUUAGCGCUAAUUCACGAAAGCGGUGCUCAUUCAGUGUUGCAAGAACAGCGCGUUGUGUCCGUGCUGUCAAUGUAACGUUUGCAGUUUGCGCUUUCUUUGCUACACACAUAAAGACAUAACUGCUGCUCAUGCUUUACUAUUGCCUUUAUGUGGAAUGCAACGUUGCACGCCGGCAGCGCCAACCUUUUUCAUAACAUUUAUAUAAAUGCGCGCACUUAUUUUGGCAAUUACGGCAUGACCUUUGUUGUCGUUAUUAUUUGCCUGCUGUUGUUGUUUUUGCUUCAAAAGUCGGCUGUUUUGAAUUUCUUCACAUUCUUUGUUUUGCUCGGCAAAUUUUCAACACACGCCACAUGUUUAUCUUUUUGCAGUUCUUUCACGCUCACGAAAAAAAACAAACAACACAAAAAUGGUACAACAACAAAGCAAACAAGCAUAAACACCUAGCCAGCCAAUAAUUUCCUCCACCAUUCAAGCAAUAAACAAAUACCGAACAUUUUCAACGACAUUAAUUACUUUUGCUCAAAAGCACACACGCGCGCGUCUAGUCUGAGUGAGCGCUUAGCGCUUUUUAUGCACGUACACAUGUAUGUGUGUGUAUGUAUGCUUUUUAAUCAUUUACCUUUAAAGCCGCUAAUCGUUAACAGCGCGCGCAGUCGCCUCAAACGCUAGCGCAGCAACGCGCCGCGACCCAACCGCGACAUCAUCCGCACAUCAGCCAGAUUGCGGCGCGCUUAACUUCCGCCAACUUAAAACUCGGCCACAUUUUUUCUCUUUUGUCCCAUAACAAACGCAAACAUCUCCUGCUGCCGUCGCGUCACGCAUUAAAACUGCUUCCGUUCAUUCAUUGCUUUGACCGCGGCGAUUUGGUUAGUUGUUGUUUGUGCCGCCGCGCUGUUUACUCAGCGUCAUAACAAUUACAAAAUCAUAUUGUGACUUGCGGAACACUAAGAAAUGUAUGUAUGUAUAUACAUGUGAGACAUGCAGACACACAUUUUGGUUUGUCAUCAUUCUUAUUGUUAAUUGUUUGGCUUUGACUUUCGCUUUCAUUGCGCGCCCAUAAUGGGGAAGUCAUACUAAAAUAUGAAAGGGUAAAAAUGAUGUGCGCUGAAAUCUCAUAAUAUGUUUUCUUAUAUUGUACUUGCGCAUAAUUUUGUUGCCACAACAACAAUAGUGCGCCACACAGCGCUUGCACCUGCCUUAUCAGCGCGCCAUCGGCAAUAGUCUAAAGAAUAUCAGUGAGCUCAAGCCACACAUAGCAGCACGUUUAAAAGCAACACUGCGACAGCUCAGCUAAAGCUGGGCCAACCAAUUUGUGCAACAAACCACCACAAAAACAAUAAUCAUGCUGAGAAUAUAGACCAGCAGCAAUAGGUCAACGCAGCGGGCAGUUAAAUUGCAACCUUUAAUGCGCGGCGCGCAGUGAUAAGACAGCAAGUAAAUUAAAAAACACGCUGCAAAGCGCAGCGCUAGCAAUCAGGUGGUCAGGCGGCAAUAAACAAAUAAACAUAAAUGGCAAAAGUAACCGGAAAAUGCAAACUAAAGAGCAGACGGGCAUUCCCAUAAUGUGGAAAAAAAAUGAAAGGAGACACAACACCAACAAAAGCGCACAGUUAGCGGCCUGCUGCGACUGCUGUUAUCCUUACCCUUACUUAACAUGCCACAAAAAUCGUGCUCAUUUUCAUUUGUGGCAGCAACAAAAUACAUACGGACAAAUGGCGCGCAGUGCCCAAAGGCUGCCAACGUCGCUGCUAUUUUGCAUGCUGCCAAUAAUGGCAUAAACCCCAAAACCCGCAGCCAGCAGUCAACUAGCGCCUUUUAAUGUUGCCACCAAUGCACCAUCACCAACAACAACCCAUUAACCAGCUAUUGCCGCUGUUAUAGCAAUUACUCUGCUGAGUGCGCGCACUUUUGCAACAUCUUGUGAGAGGCGACGAUGAUAACGACGACGACGGCGGCGGGUGCUGCUGCUGCCACUGUGGCACUGGUGGUGUAUGGGAUGCUGUGCGAUAUUUAUUCAUAAAUAGCGUUAAAUGUUGGCGCGCCGGUUCAGUUGUUAGCCAACCGACGACCAAACAAGACGACCGACCAACUCAAGACCCAACGGCUAACGAGUGAACAAAUGCCUGCCUGUGCUCCAUGUACGCUUUGAUGUGGGUUUAACUCGAAGCAGCGCAACAAACGCUACGACAGCAAUUAUAGCAAAUUGUCUAUGUAUGGACAUGCGACCAAGCGGCGAGUUGUAAAUUUCGAUUUUCUGAGUGUGUGUGCAGAACGUAUUCAACGAGCAUGUUGCACGCACUACAACAGCGCAGUUGCAAAUAGCUCUUGUUUUUGUUGCUUGUAUUGGGCAUAUAUUUUAGCGGCGACGAGACCACGAGCACUCGAGCGAGGUUCCCCAGCAUAACUACGUGUAACAUGAAGUGAGUGGGUGGCUGGUUGGCGCGCUCGUUGAGUUCGUUCGUUGCUGCUUCGAUUUUAACAACAAUGUCAGUUGUAACUACAUACAUAUGCGCAUAUGUGAUGCAUGCGUCGGCAUUCCGUCGUCGUUUAACGACAAAAGAGUUAAAAGUUUGCGCGUAUCAUCGUCCGAAAUUUGGCGCUCCACGACGCGAGUAACGGCAGAAGUCCAGGUUGCUUACACAUAUUCACACAAAAUAUGUAACGGUAGCAAGUUAAAGCAGCGCUGCCACUUAACUAAAAUCAGCCGCGGCGUGUUUGACAACGCGCUGGGCUCUAACCUGUUGUUUGCUUGGUGGUGGCAGCGUUUGUUGUUGUUUUUCUGUUGCUAUUAUAUCAAUUCAUGUUGCUCAUAUGCAAGUAGUGUGCAUGGUGUUCAACAAACGCCUAUCGGCUUGCCUUUCCAUACUUUGUGGCAUGCUAACUGCUAUUCUACGUGCCACAUAAGCACUUAUAGAUGAGUAUUACUUAUUUGUUUUAUAUUAACUCUUCUACUUAGUCUGUUUAAUUUGCACGACCAUUUUCUCUUGAAAAAAUUUUUGCAAUAUAUAAUGUACUUGCAACAAAUCCACAAACUCGUUUAAAAUGUCCACCAACUUACAUAAAAUGUCCUGUGCUGCAACGCGCUUCAUCAUCUCAGCAUGUCUGCUGUACAAUAUUUACCGUUAUAUUACAAUAUAAUUACAACUACAUGCCACACAGCUUGCGCACUUACUCUUGGAAACUCUUACACACUUUCUUCUUUGCUCAAUAGUCCGUCUCGCUGCCUCGCGUAAACAGCUGAUUUUAAAUUUUGCCACCUUUUCACAUUUUCCCUGUAAACAGCAGCGCUACUUACACCCCUUUACAUAAUAUAAAUAUGUAUGUAUAUGUGUGUGUGCAGACAGUUAUUUGCACAUUUGCCUUUCGUCCUUUUUCAAGCUUUUCUUGCUGCUGCCCAUUUCACUUGUCAAAAAAGUAAUCGUGUGCACAUUGCUUGCCUCUUAUUAAUGGUUUUCGUCUGCUUCAUUGAUACGUUGCGGGCGGUGCGCGCCUCUUCUGCCAAUUUGCCGCUUCUAUGGAGCAAGGGCUUUGCUCUUGUCGACUCUCAGUGCUUACGCGCUUGUCGAUUAUGUGGUUGGUGGUGGCGAUUUCCGCUAUAAAUGCGGUUAAAAUUUAUAACUUGUUGCUUUAAUGAAUGCGUGCGGGGGUUUUUGGGAGCUUUAUGAGCUACCAUGUGAGUUGUGUUUGUAGCUAUGUAUGUAUGUAUGUAUAUUAUAAAGCUUGCAUUUUUGACCCAUAUAUUUGCUGGUGAAGUGGGAAAGUCACAUGUUUUAAUGCGUUUUAGGGAAGUCUAAUCACAAUUGUCACUUAAAAUAAAAAUAUAAGAAAAAAUUAAUAAAAAAUAACAAUAAUUUUGAGAAAAAUAUUAAAAUUAAAUAAUAAAUAUUUAUACUGAUUAAAAUAUAAAAUUUAUAAAAUAUAAAAAUAAAACACAUUUAAAAAAAUAAAAAAAGUUUAAAUUAAUUGAAAAUAAUAAUUAAAAUUAAAUUUAAUAAAAAAUUAAGAAUAAUUUGAAAAAAAAUUAUAAUAAAUAGUAAACCUAAAAAUAAAAAAAUAAAUAAAAAUUUACAUUAAUUUAAAAAAAUUACAACUGAAUAAAAAUAUAAAAUUUAAGAUAUAAAUAAAAUAACAAUAAAAAUAAAAUACAUUUCACAAAAUUAAAAAAAAAUUAAUUUAAAAAAAUAUUAAAAUUUAAUUAAAAAGGAAUUUAAAAACAUAUUUGUAAAAAAUAAAAAUUAAAUUAAAUAAAAUAGUAAAAGAAAAAAAUUUAAAAAAUCUGUACAAAAAAUUACUUUUAUACAAGCGCAUAUUAAAUACUUUUAUUUUUAUUUAUUAAAAAUAAAAAUCACAAAUUUAUUUUAUAUAUUAAAAAUAAACAUUGCUAUAAUUAAAUGCGACUAAAGCACAAUUUUUCACACUAUUUACACAAAUACAGCACCAGCUUUCAUGGGUAAUAAGCAGUUUUGAAAGUCAUCUAACCAAAUACACCAAAACAUAUACAAACUAUUUGUCUACAAAACUUUUUCUCAUUUUGCUCAGAGCAAAAUACAAAUACACUACGUAAGUUAUGACGAAUUUUCAUACAGUCAGGCAUUUAUAAGAUUUUGUUGUUCUCCAACUAGCAUACGAUUUUUAUAAAAGCAAAUUUUAAAUAUAUUUCAUACACGGAAGUGGUCACAGACUUAAAAUAGAACGCUAUUUUUUAUAAAAUUGACUCAUUACUGACAUUUAGUGACGGAAAAUAAUGAGAGUAUAUAUUGGAAAACCGAUGACGGCAGUAUAAAAUUUAAAAUUAAUCGAAUAUAAUACAAACGAAAAGCGGCAAAGAAAAUCAGAUAUAAAACAAUUGAAAGAGUAUGCAAGCAACUAGGUGAAAUGAGACAUUACAAAAAAUGCAAAAAAUAAUUACUUAAAAAUUUUAAAGCAUGUUUGCUUUAAUAUAUUGUAGACAUAGUAUAUAUGUGUGUAUAUGUGUGUAGCAUAACAUUUAAGCGCGAAUAUAUAGAACAAAAACCGGCGUAAAAAGCGUGCAAUUAAAAUAAUGACACGCAACGAAAAAAAUUGACGCUUUAAGAGCAUACAGCUGAUAAAGCUGGCAGCCACCCACAAACAAACCGCGCAAGGCACACUGCCAUACACACAGAACAAGGUGCGGCUGGACUACGGCUAACCGACAGCUGCCUACACAUGUAUAUAUGUACAUAUAUAUUUAUACAAAUUGACCAUCAUUUACUGGCGCCCAGCAGCAACAACAGCGACAACAGCAAUUCGCCCGCAUGACCAGCGUCCACCACUGCGUAUGAGUAACAUACAUUUCGUUGCAUUAAAGCAAAUUAAAUUCAUCAUACGCACUGUACACCCUACACGCUAUGGCAAUUUCUUUUGCUUUUUCGGCUUAUUUUACUGUUGCUGCCGCUGAUUAUGACGACUAUGAUAACAACUAAAAUAUGCCACCCACAUUUGUCUAUAAAAUGAAGCCACCACAUAUAGAUUGUUGUAGUUGUUAUUAUUUUAUUUUUUCGCUAUCAACCGAAAAUAUAAGCAUAAUAACUUUACUGUUAAGUGGCAGCUUCGCAUUGAGUUGAGUUCGAAAUUUCUUUGCUGCCGUCUCUCAUUGCUAACGCUUGCCGGCGUGACUACGCUAUCUAACACUGCUGUUUUGUGUGGCGAACUGUGGGCGCCUUUGGUGAGUUUUUAUUAUGUCAGCAUUCAUGGCUGUUGUCGUUGCAACUUACUUUUUUUGACGUUUUUCCUUUUUUAUUUUUCUUUUGUUUCGUUUUGUUGCCACAUAUUUCACCCAAUUUCAUUAUGCGCACGCACACGCGCACGAAUGCGCCUCCUUCAUUUUAUACUCUACUUUAUUGUCGGUUUUACGUUCAUCGUUCGUGUUUUUGUUGCUGGUGGUAUCGCUACUUGCUUGUAUGUGCUUGCCAUUUUCAUUACGCACAACCAAAACAAAUACACUUUAUAUACUUUAUGCAUAUAAAAUGUAUGUAUAUAUAUGUGUCUGUAUUAUGUACAUCUAUAUCACUUUAUAUACUGUAUGCUAUGUAAUAUAAAUGUAUUUUGAGCAUACAGUUGCCAACCUUAUUGCCACCCACUCUCUAUAUACAUAUAAUACUCCGUUACACAGCUCACUGCUUCGUCACCUACCACGCCGUCGCCUUGUUAUACAUAAAUAUAUAUGUAAAUGUAUUUAUAUGUAAGUAUGUGUGCAUCAUGUAACCAUUAACAAUAUCCCUGAACUGUGCUGGCAUCGCCAUCACCAACGUCCACAUCGGCAAAGUGCUCAUGCAACUGUUGUUGAUUUUGAGCCUUUCGGCUGACUGUAGGGCGUUCGGUUCGGCUUGACGGUCGUUUAGAUGUACUGACUUCACGUUUGAUAUUUAGUGGGGGCUUGCAAGAAAUUUUAAAGGUUAUUCAUAUUUUUAGGUACUGUAUUUCUUUCGGUAUUUAUAACUAACUAAUUUUAGUACUUUCCAGUACUGGCCAAGUAAUUUUAGUACAAAAUUUUCAUUGCUUUGUUAAUGAAUGAUUGAAAUUAGUUUAUAUGCUCAAUAAAUGCUGAAUUUUUUUAGUAUUAAGUUAGAUUUUUAGUACUGUAUUUUUUGUACUAAAUUAUUACAGCUUUGUUUAAUUAAGUUUUAACGAAAAUUAAUAAUUGAUGAAGUUACUAAUAAUAGUCUUAACAUUUCGUAACAAAUUUUAAGUUUUAGUACAAAAUUUUUGAUGUUUAGUACUAAACAAAUAGUACCAAAUUCUUAGUUUUACUUUGAAAGUUUUGAUUUUUAUUACUAAUUGGUGAAAUAUGUUACGCAAUCUGUUAUUUCAUAUUUUUAAAAAUUAAAAAAAAAAUAUAUUAAUUCGAGUACUAAGUAUCUAAAACCCACGAAAUGUGCCUUAAAGCCUCACAAGUCUUCUUGGUAUCCAAAAUCCAACCUGCAAACGCAUUAGAUAUAUACUUAUGUAACGUUGAAAGAACGAGCAAGGCUUGUAGGGAGAGAAUAAACAUACAGACAACCAACAAACUGACGACGACUAGCAGUUACGAGCGAGUUCAGCAAAACGACGAUAAGCGACUGACAUAUGAACGUACCACAAAAUAACUCGCAAACUUUUACAAACGGUAUAUAAGUAUGUAUAUACAUACAUAUACAUAUACAUAUAUAUGAGCACUGAGUAGUGUUCGUAUGCAACGAAUUCGCAACGAGGCGUGCUCGUUUGAGCGGCAAGUGGAUUCGUGCUCAAAUUCAGAUAUCCUUGCGCUGUUAUAAAUAUGUACAUGCAUAUAUACAGUUAUAUAUGCAAGUAUGGCCAAUACGCACAUAUAUAUGUACAUGUACAUACAACAAACAAUUGAUUGCGAGCAUGGCGAGGGCAGCAACCUUCGUUGGCUUUCUACCAACGCCGUCGUGGCCUACACAAUAGCACACACACACACACACACAUUUAUAUGGAUACUCACAAUGCUUUCAGCCCACUUGCAACGCCAUUCCCUUUUUAUAAUACACCGUCCCCCCUCAAGCCAUGCCACACCGCCACAAUGUGGUUCUAUUUUAUAACAACAACAACAACGAAAGCGCAAGCUAAAAGUACGCUAUAACAACAACUACAGGUUACUGAAUGAGUGUAACAAAAGCGUCACAAAGCAUGAAACGCAAAGGGAGGAAGCGUAGAAUAUAAUGAAAUAAGGCAGUAACAGCAAUAACAACAGCAAAGUGUAUACUAUGUGGCGCCGGUGGCAAGGGUAGCGGGCGUUAUGGUGUGCGGUGGUAAGGGAAGUUGCGCGCUUUUUAUAACAAAUUACACAACUACAAACAAAAGGCGACGAUAUGGCAACCCAUUAUUAUAAAUUACAAAUACACGCGCACACACAAGCACAAAAGCUGGCAUACUUUCCAGCGCAGGAUACACGAGCACACAGGCACGCUGGCACACAAAACAAAUACACGCACAUAUGCAAGUACAUAUGUAUGUAUGUAUGUGAGUGUAUGUAGUUGUGUACAUUUGCAUAAAGUUAUAAUAUUAUAAUGAUGCCAGCUUCAUAAAAUUUAUAAAAGUGGCAAGAGUGUUUGGACUGUAGCAGGCGUUGGCCAUUGCGUGCCGGCAUGGCGUAGCGGUGGGGAUGUUGUUGGGUGGUGAAUUAGUUAGUGGCGCGGCUGAUUGCUGUUGUUGGCGCUGUUGAAUAGUGGGCGAAUGUGGCACGAAAACACAACUUUUCACCAUGGCAACGCAGAAUCACACACACACACACAUGUAUGCAAACACAGGCAUGCAUAUAGAUACAUAAGUGUUUGUGUGCCUAGUUUUGUCUGCCACUUGCGCUGGCGUUGGGAUAACGGUUAAACAACAACGACGUGCACGGAAUUGCCAACAGCAUGAAAAUGCAAACUCACUCACACAUACAUAUAUAUUUUAAAUACACAUACACAUGCAUAUAGCAAUAAAUAUUUUUUAUACAUUGCUGCAUGUAUUGGUAUGCCGUCGCAAGCAGCUUAAAAGGCAAAAACACGCGCUGAGGUGAACUGUGUGGUGAGGUGAAAAUGUCACGCCGCUGCGAGGCGCAACAAACGCCAGUGGGCGGAUUUUGAAAUGAGAUUUUUCUUGCGCUUUAAUAAAAUUCGAUUUUUUUCAUGCAACUGCUUUGCUGUGUGCGUGGGCAAUGUUUGAAAAUCGCACGCUAAAUCGAACUUUAGUCAUUGUGGCGCUGUUGUAUAGUGCAGUAACCACGGCUGCGAGCCACGCUGGAUUGAAUGUUGGUUAGGCUGUGUUUGGCGGCGUAUGGAAAGUGUGUUAGGUACAUGGAAUAAUAGAGUUAGACAAAUGUUGAUGCGGAGGCAUAGUGCCGCAUAAGUUCUAAGCAGCUUGGAUGUCCGAAAUUUUUAGAGAACUUAAAUAAGAGGUUACAAAAAUAGUAUUUAAUGUUUCAGAAUUUUUUGGUAAUACCAAAAAUUUGGUUACUUUGUUCGUAAGAAAAAUAUUUAAAAAAUGUGCAACAUUUUUUAGUACUUGCAGAAUUUUUUUAUUUUAUUUUUUAGUACUUGCAGUACUUGGUACCAAACAAAAUUUUAAUUUAAAAAGAAUUUUAGUACAAGUUUUUUGUAUUUAAAAUAUUUGUUGUUAAAAAUAAGCAAAAAGUAGAUUUUAGUACAUGCAUUCGUAAGUCUAUCAAAAAAUUGCCAAAAUUUUAUUGGAAAUAUAUAAUACAUAUUUAUAACUUUUUCAAAAAUUGUUUAAUACUUGCAGAACUUCUAUGUAUUUUUUAAUACUUUUUAGUACUUACAGUACAUAGUACUAAAACUAUAUUUCCAUCUAGAGGGAAUUUUUAGUACAAAGCUUUUGUUUAACAACUGUUUAUGGUUGUAAUGUUUGCAAACAGCUUUUGUGUACUAAAAAUAGUACUAAAAAUUAUUUCUAAACAUUUUUGUAUUAAAAAGUUUUUAGUACACGCUUGCAUGUACUAGAAAUAGUACUCAAAAAUAGUUCUAAAAAUUUUCGAACCACCGUUAUUCCGAUGAGGGUCUAAAAUAAAACUGGUCGGCCAGCAAAUAUGGCUUGGCUUAUAGUUUGAUACUAUUUCUGGCUCAAAAAUUCUAACUCUUUUUUUGUUAAAAGUUUCGAAAUUAAUUAAAUUCAAAUGAAGAGCACAAAGUAAAAUUUUGUAAAUUUGUACUUAAAAGGUUUGCCACACAAAUUAGUUUUAAUUUCUCACAUGAAAUGAGCUAGCAUAGCAUGAAAAGUUAUACUCUGACUGCUUUCAACAAUGUUAGGUCAAAUAUUUUUAUGCACUACUCAGACAACAACAGUUACAGUCAUUGCGAUGAAUGACGGAUGUAAAACCAGCAUAAAAAUGAUGUUGCCAUUACAUUUUCUACCUCUAUCUCAUUGGAACAUAUGAAAUUGUGCGAGCGGAGUACGAUUGGUUUGGUUAGUGCAAUAGCACUGAUCCACACGCGCUGUGGAUAACACCACGUUGCAAUAUGUUCAUGAAUAGUUUGUGUGUUGCAUUUCAUAUUCCCGAUUUUCACAACUUUUCAAUUUUUAUGGUUUUCAACGUUUAAAUUUGUGAGAAAAAAAUAGUUUAAGCCAGGUGGAAGGUCUUGCAUUUAGCUAGCGCGAUGACGGGCUGUACUUUAUAAUAUUUAAUGUGUGCUACUAAAAAUGCAGCGUGUUUGCGCAGUGCAGAAAUAUAAUAGAAACUGAAAAUAAUAAAAUUAGAAAUCUUUAUUUUAUGAAGUUCGUUUCAAAAUUUACACAAAUUAAAGAAGAAUUCAAUAUUUAUUAAUUUUUUAUGUUUCUAUAGCGUUUUUCAUGCAUUCGUAACACCCUGUCGCUGGUGUAGCACACUGCAGCACAACACAGGCACCGCCUGAGUUUAAUUUUUUCAUUUCCCUUCACUCAUCACACGCCAACAACAACGGAAAAUUUUAUUCAGCUACAUCGCACUGUCAUUUUGCCAUCGCCUGGCAUAUUUUUCCCCCAACACACAUAAAAAUCUUUCUUUCUUUCGAUGGCAACUACGUAGCCAGUCAGCCAACCAACCAACCAGCCAGCCAGCUAGCAAACAAAAUAUAGCUUCGUUAUACAGAUAGAUAUUCCAUACAAUCAAGCUGAGUGUACUCUAAACCCUCGUUGCAUUUGCCUUGCCAUAUAAAAUAUACCAGCAUGUGUAUCUAGCACACCCGAACGCACCGCUACACAACCUAAAAGCAGUCACUCUUUCCUCAUCAUUUCAAUUCACCGGUAUUGUGGCUGAAUACUUCACAUCACGCGCCCCGCUUCACCAUUACAACCCUGCACUGCUAAUACUCUGCUUGCUUGCUUGCUUGGCACUUUAUUUUUAUCUCCACUGCGACGACUGUACUUCGUAUGUAUUCGGCACAUUGGUGUUCUUUGUGUUACACGUACAUAUACAGCUCUCUGCUCUGUUCAUUGUUAUUGCUACAU